rnacentral:rRNA from 1 species
GAUGAACGCUGGCGGCGUGCCUAAUACAUGCAAGUCGAGCGAACAGACGAGGAGCUUGCUCCUCUGACGUUAGCGGCGGACGGGUGAGUAACACGUGGAUAACCUACCUAUAAGACUGGGAUAACUUCGGGAAACCGGAGCUAAUACCGGAUAAUAUAUUGAACCGCAUGGUUCAAUAGUGAAAGACGGCUUUGCUGUCACUUAUAGAUGGAUCCGCGCCGCAUUAGCUAGUUGGUAAGGUAACGGCUUACCAAGGCGACGAUGCGUAGCCGACCUGAGAGGGUGAUCGGCCACACUGGAACUGAGACACGGUCCAGACUCCUACGGGAGGCAGCAGUAGGGAAUCUUCCGCAAUGGGCGAAAGCCUGACGGAGCAACGCCGCGUGAGUGAUGAAGGUCUUCGGAUCGUAAAACUCUGUAAUUAGGGAAGAACAAAUGUGUAAGUAACUAUGCACGUCUUGACGGUACCUAAUCAGAAAGCCACGGCUAACUACGUG